rnacentral:rRNA from 1 species
CCUACGGGGUGCAGCAGUGAGGAAUAUUGGUCAAUGGACGAGAGUCUGAACCAGCCAAGUAGCGUGAAGGAUGACUGCCCUAUGGGUUGUAAACUUCUUUUAUAUGGGAAUAAAAUGUUCCAUGUGUGGGAUUUUGUAUGUACCAUAUGAAUACGGCUCGGCUAACUCCGUGCCAGCAGCCGCGGUAAUACGGAGGAUCCGAGCGUUAUCCGGAUUUAUUGGGUUUAAAGGGAGCGUAGGUGGAUUGUUAAGUCAGUUGUGAAAGUUUGCGGCUCAACCGUAAAAUUGCAGUUGAAACUGGCAGUCUUGAGUACAGUAGAGGUGGGCGGAAUUCGUGGUGUAGCGGUGAAAUGCUUAGAUAUCACGAAGAACUCCGAUUGCGAAGGCAGUUCACUGGACUGCAACUGACACUGAGGCUCGAAAGUGUGGGUAUCAAACAGGAUUAGAUACCCCUGUAGUC